rnacentral:rRNA from 1 species
GCUCAGAACGAACGCUGGCGGCAGGCCUAACACAUGCAAGUCGAGCGGCCGUAGCAAUACGGCAGCGGCAGACGGGAGAGUAACACGUGGGAACGCGCCCUUCGGUUCGGGAUAACCCAGGGAAACUUGGGCUAAUACCGGAUACGCCCUUACGGGGAAAGAUUUAUUGCCGAAGGAACGGCCCGCGUCCGAUUAGCUUGUUGGUGAGGUAUUUUCCCUCCAAGGCGAGANCAGUAGCUGGUUUGAGAGGAUGGCCAGCCACAUUGGG